CCUCUCUUCUCUCUCGUUCUAAUCCUCAACACAAACAGAAGAAAGAAGGCCCCGCCCAGCUUAGAGAAGAGGAAGGGCUCACCCAGGUCACCGGUCACACCAGGACUCCAGAGCCUGGACUAGGAGUGGGGGAAAGAGGAAGAGCAGGAGGAAGGACCGGGAGAUGAUGUUGUCUGAACCGGCCCUGGCAACCCUGUGAACAGCCCCAGGAUGUAGACGGAGAACAGGAAUGACUGUUGAGCAGGUGUACUGCUGCGGCCGAGAACAGGAAUGACCACUACGGCAAUCCACUUCACUCUUCUCCUAAGCAUCAAGAGAAAAGUCCAUACAGGGUCCACAAGAUGGUUUAGCGGGUAAAGGCGCCUGCUGCGGGGCUGACAGCCUUUGUGAUCCCUGAGAGCACACUGUGGAAGAGAGAACCCGCUCCCGUGAGUGCUCUGCUGGCCACUGCCGUGAGUGCUCUGCUGGCCACCGCUCCCGUGAGUGCUCUGCUGGCCACCGCUGCCGUGAGUGCUCUGCUGGCCACCGCUGCCGUGAGUGCUCUGCUGGCCACUGCCGUGAGUGCUCUGCUGGCCACCCCUGCCAUGUGCUCUCAGGGCAUCCAUGCCUGUGGCCUUCCUUGCCAAACUCAUUCUGUCAUCAAAACUCGCUGCUGCCAGCCCUCCAAGGGGGACAGGUGCUGGCCCCGUCCCUCCAAGGGGUGCAGGGUCAUGUUUAAUGUCACCCAGGUGGUGAGUGGCUGAACCACCUGCACUUCUACUCCACGUGCCAGCAAAAAUCUGCCACCUCCACAGGGAAUAAACUCUGUCGCCUCUGAACUUCGCGGGACCUGGAAAGGAGGCGUCCACCAAGGGCCCUCAGCCCAGAAAUGCCAAGGACGCUGCUUCCGCUGCUAGCAGCGGGUACAUACGGAGUGGGCGUGCCCGGCCCACGGCUGCCAACCCCUCCACGGGUACCACUCAGUUCUGCCAGCACAUUCCACAUGGCCACCACGCCCCAGAUCCUGGGACUUGGUCGAGGGCAGCACAAACCGUCUUCCGAGCGGAGGAUGUGGCCACAAAGGGACUCACUUGUGAAGGCCCUGUGCAGCCCUUUUCCAUGGCUCUGCUCUUCACAUGGGUCCAGAGGUCACCGCCCAAGUCAAGCAGCAUAACCUCAUCGCAGACCUGUCCUCGAGGCCUGCCCUGCUGCAGCCGGCCGGCCACUGCUGUCUCCCUCAUUAACCUGACGUGGCAGCAGCUGCUGAAAUCGAGGCACCAAAUGUGGAGGCAUGGUCCCGCCACCUGGCCUCCCGCCAGGUCUGUGAGGGCCACCAGCACACGCUCAGAGUCUCGUCCAAAUCGCGCAGAAGCGGGCAAGUGGUGCACACAGGCUCCACAUGGCCUGUGCUGUGACGAGACACAUCCUGCAGAGGGAGCCCCUUUUCACCCUGCAAGCCCCAAAAUCAUCACACAGUUUGAGAGGGUCCCUGAGGUCAGCUCAAGAAGCAGAGCUAGCUUACAGGGCCUGCCACACACAGCAGGCGCAGCAAGGCCUCCCGGUGACGACAGACAGUGGUCACUUUCAGGGGACAAUCACAGGAGAGCAAGAGCUUGAAUACGGUGUGACUGAGAUCCCAGCACUCGGGCUGAGACAGGCGCAUCAUGUGUUUGAGGCCAGCGUGAGAUACAUAGUCAUCUCCCGUCUCAAAUGACAAGAGUCCUACAGCUUAGUGCUAAGUGACUGCUUACAGGUGUAGGGGAUUUAGCUCAACGGUAGAGCACUUGCCUAGCAUGAGCAAGGUCCUGGGUUCAAUUCCUAGAGGCGGGGGUAGAGAAGGAGAUAAGGAGGGAGGGAACGAGAGACUGAGGUCACAAUUUCCCAUCUCCCAGCAGGGGACAGCAAGAGAACUCAGAAGCAGGAGAGGGGUGUGUUCCAGCGGGUGGCUAGCUGAGUCAAAAGCCCGUGGGCAGGAGACAGCAGGUUGGAAGAGAACCAAGGGUGAGCUCUGGGGCAGCCCCAGGAUGUGAAACCGUGUCCUGCCUCACCAGCCUCUUCUACAUGAGGAACAAACAAGAUGGAGAAGCCUCCAUUCCUGCCCCAGGUCACCCUUAAACAACCAUGGUAGAAAAGGGAGCCAGGACCCUCCCCGAGAGGACCACAGUCCUGCAGGGAAGAGGGGACGGCAAUGUCUGUAAUUUGUUUAAAUAAUCCUGCUGAACUGGAAGGAAAUUAACAAAUGAGAAACUAGCUCGAAAUUAAUCAAACUUCUCCCUGUCCAUGUCCCCCGCCCAACGCUUUCUGUCUUAAUGAAGGUUAUUUAUCCAACGAGCAAUAAAACAGGGAAUUAAA